CCUGCAUACCAUACUUCUCUCUUCACCGCUUCCCUCUCUCUCUCUCCUCUUCUUAGCAAUAAAUAGAAGGUAGCUUGAAAGUGUGAGUUGCCAGAGAAAUACAGAAGCUAUUUUCCUAUCAUAUAUGUUCGGCUUCAGUAGAAAAUGUAAACGAUUUCCCAUUUCUGGUACAUCCAGGUGUUGACCCUGCUGGUUUCGUUAAUAUGUCAUGAACGGUUCUUUAUAACCUUGUCUUCUAGUGAAGGUUGUGCAGCAGGGAACAGAGUUUCUGCAUCUUUACUUGUGUCUUAAUUUUGUAUCAAGAGUAACGAAUCUUGAUGAAGGUAUCAUCUAAGCCUCAAACAGUGUUAAAACUAUUUGAGGAUCACAUUAUCUUCUCGAGGUCGGUGGCAUGUUGCUUUAUUGUCUAAAUUUGAGGAUCGCAUUAUCAACAUACACCUCUAUGAUUUUGGCUAUCUGCUCUCAGAAUAUCUAGUCCAAUACUUUCUGAAAUGUAACUUCUGCAUUCUUCAAAUCGAAAGAAAUUACUUCAUAGCAUAAAUUUGUCUCAGUGAUAAAAGUCGUUCUCUCUUUAUCCUCACUCCUGCAUUUGGAUCUAACCAUUUCUGAGUAAGCAUCUUAGAAACUGAAGUCUAUUUGUACCAUGAUGAAAAUGACAUUUCUGGGAUGAAAUCUGUUUGUAGCAACUUUGUAAUCUUUUGUUUGUAAUGAACCAAUACGUGGAUCAGGCCUACAUAUCCCUGGAAAUCACGUAUCUGAGACGGAUACGUUUAAUAGGUUUAAAAUACAUAUCAGUAAAGUGUCAGUAAGCAAUUAAAAAUUAUAAGAAAAAUUGUUUCAAAAAAGUGUUGCGAAG
rnacentral:sRNA from 1 species